AGUGAACGCUGGCGGUAGGCCUAACACAUGCAAGUCGAACGGCAGCACAGUAAGAGCUUGCUCUUACGGGUGGCGAGUGGCGGACGGGUGAGGAAUACAUCGGAAUCUACUUUUUCGUGGGGGAUAACGUAGGGAAACUUACGCUAAUACCGCAUACGACCUACGGGUGAAAGCAGGGGAUCUUCGGACCUUGCGCGAUUGAAUGAGCCGAUGUCGGAUUAGCUAGUUGGCGGGGUAAAGGCCCACCAAGGCGACGAUCCGUAGCUGGUCUGAGAGGAUGAUCAGCCACACUGGAACUGAGACACGGUCCAGACUCCUACGGGAGGCAGCAGUGGGGAAUAUUCGGCAAUGGGCGAAAGCCUGAUGGAGCCACGCCGCGUGAGUGAAGAAGGUCUUCGGGUCGUAAAGCUCUGUUGUUGGGAAAGAAAAAAAGUAGAAGAAACCAUGGAUGUUCUGACGGUACCUAAAGAAUAAGCACCGGCUAACUACGUG
rnacentral:rRNA from 1 species